rnacentral:rRNA from 1 species
CAGUCGCCACGGUAAUACGUAGGUGGCGAGCGUUGUCCGGAAUCAUUGGGCGUAAAGGGAGCGCAGGCGGGCAUGUAAGUCUUUCUUAAAAGUUCGGGGCUCAACCCCGUGAUGGGAAAGAAACUACAUGUCUUGAGUACAGGAGAGGAAAGCGGGAUUCCCAGUGUAGCGGUGAAAUGCGUAGAUAUUGGGAGGAACACCAGUGGCGAAGGCGGCUUUCUGGACUGCAACUGACGCUGAGGCUCGAAAGCCAGGGGAGCGAACGGGAUUAGAUACCCCCGUAGUCCCUGUCUCUUAUACA